rnacentral:rRNA from 1 species
AUUCUGGCUCAGGAUGAACGCUGGCGGCGUGCUUAACACAUGCAAGUCGAACGGGAUCCAUCAGGCUUUGCUUGGUGGUGAGAGUGGCGAACGGGUGAGUAAUGCGUGACCGACCUGCCCCAUACACCGGAAUAGCUCCUGGAAACGGGUGGUAAUGCCGGAUGCUCCAGUUGAUCGCAUGGUCUUCUGGGAAAGCUUUCGCGGUAUGGGAUGGGGUCGCGUCCUAUCAGCUUGACGGCGGGGUAACGGCCCACCGUGGCUUCGACGGGUAGCCGGCCUGAGAGGGCGACCGGCCACAUUGGGACUGAGAUACGGCCCAGACUCCUACGGGAGGCAGCAGUGGGGAAUAUUGCACAAUGGGCGCAAGCCUGAUGCAGCGACGCCGCGUGAGGGAUGGAGGCCUUCGGGUUGUAAACCUCUUUUAUCGGGGAGCAAGCGAGAGUGAGUUUACCCGUUGAAUAAGCACCGGCUAACUACGUGCCAGCAGCCGCGGUAAUACGUAGGGUGCAAGCGUUAUCCGGAAUUAUUGGGCGUAAAGGGCUCGUAGGCGGUUCGUCGCGUCCGGUGUGAAAGUCCAUCGCUUAACGGUGGAUCUGCGCCGGGUACGGGCGGGCUGGAGUGCGGUAGGGGAGACUGGAAUUCCCGGUGUAACGGUGGAAUGUGUAGAUAUCGGGAAGAACACCAAUGGCGAAGGCAGGUCUCUGGGCCGUUACUGACGCUGAGGAGCGAAAGCGUGGGGAGCGAACAGGAUUAGAUACCCUGGUAGUCCACGCCGUAAACGAUGAGUGCUAGGUGUUGGGUCCUUUCCGGGACUCAGUGCCGCAGCUAACGCAUUAAGCACUCCGCCUGGGGAGUACGACCGCAAGGUUGAAACUCAAAGGAAUUGACGGGGGCCCGCACAAGCGGUGGAGCAUGUGGUUUAAUUCGAAGCAACGCGAAGAACCUUACCUGGUCUUGACAUCCCUCUGACCGCUCUUUAAUCGGAGCUUUCCUUCGGGACAGAGGAGACAGGUGGUGCAUGGUUGUCGUCAGCUCGUGUCGUGAGAUGUUGGGUUAAGUCCCGCAACGAGCGCAACCCUCGCCCCGUGUUGCCAGCACGUUAUGGUGGGAACUCACGGGGGACCGCCGGGGUUAACUCGGAGGAAGGUGGGGAUGACGUCAGAUCAUCAUGCCCCUUACGUCCAGGGCUUCACGCAUGCUACAAUGGCCGGUACAACGGGAUGCGACACGGCGACGUGGAGCGGAUCCCUGAAAACCGGUCUCAGUUCGGAUUGGAGUCUGCAACCCGACUCCAUGAAGGCGGAGUCGCUAGUAAUCGCGGAUCAGCAACGCCGCGGUGAAUGCGUUCCCGGGCCUUGUACACACCGCCCGUCAAGUCAUGAAAGUGGGCAGCACCCGAAGCCGGUGGCCUAACCCCUUGUGGGAUGGAGCCGUCUAAGGUGAGGCUCGUGAUUGGGACUAAGUCGUAACAAGGUAGCCGUACCGGAAGGUGCGGCUG